rnacentral:tRNA from 1 species
GCCUGGGUGGCUCAGUCGGUUAAGCGUCUGACUUCAGCUCAGGUCAUGAUCUCACGGCUUGUGGGUUCGAGCCCCGCGUCGGGCU